rnacentral:lncRNA from 1 species
UGGCGUGCUGCGAUUCAUGGGGUCACAAAGAGUUGGACACGACUGAGUGAGUGAAGUGAACUGAAUGUUUGGGAAGGUGGGUAGGCAUAAUUUUUAGCAAAUUCACUAGUGAAGGAGCUAGAAUGACCAGAAAAAGCUAGUCCCUUACAAAGCAUUUUAGCCUCUCUGCACUUCUGAGUACUGAUUUUUUUCCCUGUAAUUAAAAUCAUACUCCAUCUUUGACUAGAAUAUCUCACUUUGGGUUAACAAGACUUUUUUAUCCAGGCCACAACAGGAUUAACUGGAAAUAGUAAAGCUUCCAUAUGAGAAAAAAAAAAAAAAUCCCUUCCUAAACAGUGGCUAUUUAGUCAAGGUAGUUUUACACUUGAUCUUAGCCGAAAGGUAGAGAAGCGAUAGUCAAAGUAAUUUUAACAUGGACUUUUAAUCCGCUCUCCAGGAGGAUCUGGUGAAAACUUGUGGUGGUCAGUGUAGUAGAGGAGGGCAUCUGUAUCCUGUUGCAGUUAGACCCUCUUCUUUCAAAACCCGUAGUUCACAUCAUUCCCUGAUGCCCUUUGCACUGGUAUGUUGUAUAUCCCAAUCACAGCUGCUCAUCUCUUUAUAUCAGGUCUUUAUAUCUCUUGCAAGAAUUUUUCAAUUUUUCAUUUAAAUUUGUUCAAAUGCAGCUUUAAUACAGUCAACAGCAUAUCCAGGUUGGUUUUCUUGCUUCCUACAUGCUGCUACAAAAUAAUAGUGGUACUGGUAAUGUAUUCAUACUUUCAUUCUGUCUCUCUUCUCCUUUCUCUCUCUCCCUCUCAAUACACAAACUGGGCAGUCACACAGAUAUACAGUGUGUACACUACACGAAUACCCGUAAUCAGUGUCCUUUGUUUCUGA